rnacentral:tRNA from 1 species
CUUAGCUCAGCGGUUAGAGCAGCGGACUCAUAAUCCGUUGGUCGUAGGUUCAAAUCCUACAGGG